rnacentral:ribozyme from 1 species
UUUUUUUUUUUUUUUUUUUUUUUUUUUUUUUUUUUUUUUGUU